CACGUACACGCACAAACACAUGCGCGCGCACACACACACACGCACACACAAACACACACACUGAGUGGCUGACAGCGAGUAUUUCCACGUUCUCUAAGGCUGCGUCAUGCUCGGUCUCUGGCGCCCUCUGCUGGCUGCAUGCCUGCUACUACAACUACUACUACUGCUACCUGCCUCCUGGUGCAGGAUGCCUGAAUACAACAAUGGAUUCUACUACCAUGACGUCACCAACAGCAACGGCAAUGGCGAAAUCUACUACAACGGCGUGCGUCUGCAUGUGGAGUCCCCCGAGCCGUCAGUGUCGGCCACCAGGGGGAGCAGCGUCACCCUCCCGUGCCACUUCCACUACGAGCCUGAGGUCAGCGCCCCCCGCAGGACGCGGGUCAAGUGGUCGUGGUUGCCCGCCAACACUGCCGCGCCCGCCGCCCCCGCUGCCCCGGGCGCCGCCCCCGCCAUGGAGACGGAGGUGAUGGUCGCCAUGGGCAACCGUCACCGCAGCUACGGCAGCUUCCGGGGCCGCGUGCGCCUGCGACGCUCUGCGCCGGGCGAUAUGUCGCUGGUCAUCAACGAGCUGCGCCUCAAUGACACGGGGCGAUACCGAUGUGAGGUGAUUGACGGCGUGGAGGACGAGAGCGUCACCGUGGAGCUGGAGCUGCGAGGUGUGGUGUUUCCCUACUUCUCUAACAGAGGACGCUACCACUUCAACUACCCGCGGGCGCAGCAGGCGUGCCAGGAUCAGGACGCCACGCUGGCCACCUUCGAGCAGCUGUUCACGGCGUGGGAAGAAGGCCUGGACUGGUGCAACGCCGGCUGGUUGGCCGACGGCACGGUGCAGUAUCCCAUCACGGCGCCACGCGACGGAUGCGGGGGCUCCGGCUUGGCGCCUGGUAUUCGCAACUACGGUCCGCGCCACCGCCUUCUCCACCGCUUUGACGCCUUCUGCUUCUCCGCCUCCAUCAAAGGGACGGUCUACUUCCUGCAGAACCCGACCAGGCUCAACUUCACCGAGGCGGUCCAGGCUUGCGCCAGAGACUUCAGUUCCGUGGCCAAAGUGGGCCAACUGUACGCCGCCUGGAGGCUCUCAGGAUUGGACCGCUGCGACGCCGGGUGGUUGGCCGACGCCAGCGUCCGCUACCCCAUCACCAAGGUCCGGGCUAACUGCGGACCCCCGGAACCUGGGGUGCGGAGCUACGGCUUCCCCCCAUGGCACCUGAAGUUUGGCGUCUACUGCUAUCGGUAGACUCUCGGUUAGCAUUAGCUGUAGCCUGCGGGCGAAUGGGCUUAUUUAGGUCCAUUGUGCUCCUCUUCCUCCUACAAACUACUGUGACCACUAAGUUGUGCCCCUUUUCCACUGCUCCGUACCUGCUUGACCCGCCUCGGUUUCAGCUCGUCCGCAUGAAAAUAGCUACUUGAAAACCAGGAAGUAGUCGUAGUCACAAAUAACAACAAUGGAGGAGACUGAAGACGCGGGAGCUAAGCGGAGAUGCAACCGGUCCCGCUCAGAGCGUUUUCCUGUGCUGCUGUGGUCUGAUGACUGCUUUACUUCUGCUGCUCCUCGCUGACCUUUUGUGUAGCCUGUUGCUGUUGGCGUCACCUGCUGGAAGAAGGAGGGAAGCGCACACUGGUGAUGUCAUACGUACUGAUGAUGUCACGCAGGCAAGGAUUCUCGGUUACAUCUACUCCUGAACCAGAAGCUCCGCUCCCGCUGAUGGUGCUGGACGCCCCUGAGAUAUCGCCACUGGCCGAAUGAUCACCUGAUCCGGAAUCAGAACCAUCAACAGGGACUGUUGUUCAAGAUGCAGACAAAAAUAUAUUAGAGAUUUGGUACUAUUUUUGAAAUUUUAAAUGACAAGACAAACACCUUCAGGACCGGGUUUAUGCCUAUGCUGUUAAAUCCAAAGCUCUUACCGGUAGGAACUGUUAGUUGUGUUGAGGUGUUUGUCUUCUGGAUAAUCUCUUCUAUGUCUGUGAUGUUUAGAGUGGUUUCAGUGUCAUUGUAGCCCACAGUAGAUUCAACUAAAAGACAAACACAACAAGGGGUAACGUAAACAACCUCAACUGAUUAAAGAAAUAAACAAUUAUAGACACGAGGUGUAUAAUCCUACUAGUAGGAAUGGAGUGAUCAACAGCAACUGCUGUCUUGUUGAUAACAUCUGUCGUCAGUAACAGGUCAUAA